UCAAGCCCAAAUCAAACAAGAAAGAAACAAACACAAAACCCUCCAAACGAUGAAACGAAAGAUGAUCACAAACGAAAAAAGAAAAAGAAGGGAGCUUUGUAUCAUCCUUGUGUAUGGAUGAUUAUCUCAACCCUUUCUGUAUUGGUACUA
rnacentral:ribozyme from 1 species